rnacentral:rRNA from 1 species
GACGAACGCUGGCGGCGUGCUUAACACAUGCAAGUCGAACGUGAUUUUUGUGGAAAUUCUUUCGGGAAUGGAAAUGAAAUGAAAGUGGCGAACGGGUGAGUAACACGUGAGCAACCUACCUUACACAGGGGGAUAGCCGUUGGAAACGACGAUUAAUACCGCAUGAGACCACAGAAUCGCAUGAUAUAGGGGUCAAAGAUUUAUCGGUGUAAGAAGGGCUCGCGUCUGAUUAGCUAGUUGGAAGGGUAAAGGCCUACCAAGGCGACGAUCAGUAGCCGGUCUGAGAGGAUGAACGGCCACAUUGGAACUGAGACACGGUCCAAACUCCUACGGGAGGCAGCAGUGGGGAAUAUUGCACAAUGGGGGGAACCCUGAUGCAGCGACGCCGCGUGAGCGAAGAAGGUUUUCGAAUCGUAAAGCUCUGUCCUAUGAGAAGAUAAUGACGGUAUCAUAGGAGGAAGCCCCGGCUAAAUACGUGCCAGCAGCCGCGGUAAUACGUAUGGGGCGAGCGUUGUCCGGAAUUAUUGGGCGUAAAGGGUGCGUAGGCGGUUUUUUAAGUCAGGUGUGAAAGCGUGAGGCUUAACCUCAUUAAGCACUUGAAACUGGAAGACUUGAGUGAAGGAGAGGAAAGUGGAAUUCCUAGUGUAGCGGUGAAAUGCGUAGAUAUUAGGAGGAAUACCGGUGGCGAAGGCGACUUUCUGGACUUUUACUGACGCUCAGGUACGAAAGCGUGGGGAGCAAACAGG